ACACAUGCAAGUCGAACGAGCGAGAGAGAGCUUGCUUUCUCAAGCGAGUGGCGAACGGGUGAGUAACGCGUGAGGAACCUGCCUCAAAGAGGGGGACAACAGUUGGAAACGACUGCUAAUACCGCAUAAGCCCACAGGUCGGCAUCGACCAGAGGGAAAAGGAGCAAUCCGCUUUGAGAUGGCCUCGCGUCCGAUUAGCUAGUUGGUGAGGUAACGGCCCACCAAGGCAACGAUCGGUAGCCGGACUGAGAGGUUGAACGGCCACAUUGGGACUGAGACACGGCCCAGACUCCUACGGGAGGCAGCAGUGGGGAAUAUUGCACAAUGGGGGAAACCCUGAUGCAGCGACGCCGCGUGGAGGAAGAAGGUCUUCGGAUUGUAAACUCCUGUUGUUGAGGAAGAUAAUGACGGUACUCAACAAGGAAGUGACGGCUAACUACGUGCCAGCAGCCGCGGUAAAACGUAGGUCACAAGCGUUGUCCGGAAUUACUGGGUGUAAAGGGAGCGCAGGCGGGAAGACAAGUUGGAAGUGAAAUCUAUGGGCUCAACCCAUAAACUGCUUUCAAAACUGUUUUUCUUGAGUAGUGCAGAGGUAGGCGGAAUUCCCGGUGUAGCGGUGGAAUGCGUAGAUAUCGGGAGGAACACCAGUGGCGAAGGCGGCCUACUGGGCACCAACUGACGCUGAGGCUCGAAAGUGUGGGUAGCAAACAGGAUUAGAUACCCUGGUAGUCCACACCGUAAACGAUGAUUACUAGGUGUUGGAGGAUUGACCCCUUCAGUGCCGCAGUUAACACAAUAAGUAAUCCACCUGGGGAGUACGACCGCAAGGUUGAAACUCAAAGGAAUUGACGGGGGCCCGCACAAGCAGUGGAGUAUGUGGUUU
rnacentral:rRNA from 1 species